rnacentral:lncRNA from 1 species
GGUGAGAGCAAAGAGAAGAAGAAGAGGGUCUUCUUCUAGGAUUGCUGAGUUUACCUCUUCUCUUCCUCCAUCUGUGAGUUUUUUUAAAGUGUCUCACAUCUAAAACUCCUUCUCCUACUUCUCAUCUUUGGAAGAGUCCAAAUCAAGAAGGAGGCAUCUGAUCGACCAUCGAAGAAGGAUCAGCACAGUACUAGCAUAUUAUGCUGAUUUUCUGGACCAGGAC